rnacentral:rRNA from 1 species
UGGGGAAUCUUCCGCAAUGGGCGAAAGCCUGACGGAGCAAUACCGCGUGAGGGAUGAAGGAUUUUGGUCUGUAAACCUCUUUUCUCAAGAAAGAAGUUCUGACGGUACUUGAGGAAUAAGCAUCGGCUAACUCCGUGCCAGCAGCCGCGGUAAUACGGGGGAUGCAAGCGUUAUCCGGAAUCAUUGGGCGUAAAGCGCCUGUAGGUUGUUUAAUAAGUCUGUUGUUAAAGACUAGGGCUCAACCCUAGAAAAGCAAUGGAAACUACUAGACUAGAGUAUGGCAGGGGUAGAGGGAAUUUCUAGUGUAGCGGUGAAAUGCGUAGAUAUUAGAAAGAACACCGGUGGCGAAAGCGCUCUACUGGACCAUUACUGACACUCAGAGGCGAAAGCUAGGGUAGCAAAAGGGAUUAGAUACCCCUGUAGUCA